GUUUUGGUGCUGAGCAUGUGAGACUCGCAUGCGGUGAUCUCUUCGUGCUUGUGAGCAGAGUCAUAUGAGAAAAUUCUCCCAAGCGAUAAGUUGGUUGAGGAAAGAAUUUUCAGAAACUCGGAAAGAGUUGGAAACCUUUGCUCAGAUGGAGCGAAAGAUUAUCAGACUUAAGGACAAGCAGCAGAAUAGAGGUUAACUGCUGUCGUAUCCUCCUGGUGUAUGAGAGAGUUCACAAGGAUGUAGUGUUGUGCAUAUGGAAAUGAUCCAAACUGAAACCAUAUUUAGCUUUGUUCUUCUGGCGGACAACUUCAUUUGCCCAGCUGCAUGUUUUCACUUUGUUAUGAACGUCUGUGUAGCGCUUGUUGCUCGCUUGCAUACUCACUCCUAAAAGUGGAAACCUGAAACUUCUUUAUAAAAAUAUAUUGGUAUUAUGAUAAUGAUUGUUGUUGUUAUUAUGAUGAUGACAGACAACAUUGAUG